UCUGAGGAGAACACACACUUGAGCAUUAUUGAUGUGUGGGGGAACAAUUUCCAGUGAUAAAGGAAUGUGGCAUCCUUCUUGUCCCAGACGAGGGCAACUUGAAGCAGUCUGUGCCAGAAAAGCUACUCCGGUUAACAUCGUGAUAGCAUCACAUCUUCAAGUGGUGGAACACAUAAUUUAUUCAUAUUAUUAAAUACUCUAAGGAGAGACAAAGGAAGGGCCUC
rnacentral:lncRNA from 1 species